GCGUAAAGAGCUCGUAGGCGGUUUGUCGCGUCUGCCGUGAAAGUCCGGGGCUCAACUCCGGAUCUGCGGUGGGUACGGGCAGACUAGAGUGAUGUAGGGGAGACUGGAAUUCCUGGUGUAGCGGUGAAAUGCGCAGAUAUCAGGAGGAACACCGAUGGCGAAGGCAGGUCUCUGGGCAUUAACUGACGCUGAGGAGCGAAAGCAUGGGGAGCGAACAGGAUUAGAUACCCUGGUAGUCCAUGCCGUAAACGUUGGGCACUAGGUGUGGGGGACAUUCCACGUUUUCCGCGCCGUAGCUAACGCAUUAAGUGCCCCGCCUGGGGAGUACGGCCGCAAGGCUAAAACUCAAAGGAAUUGACGGGGGCCCGCACAAGCGGCGGAGCAUGCGGAUUAAUUCGAUGCAACGCGAAGAACCUUACCAAGGCUUGACAUGGACCGGAGCGGCGCAGAAAUGUGGUUUCCCCUUUGGGGCUGGUUUACAGGUGGUGCAUGGUUGUCGUCAGCUCGUGUCGUGAGAUGUUGGGUUAAGUCCCGCAACGAGCGCAACCCUCGUUCUAUGUUGCCAGCACGUGAUGGUGGGGACUCAUAGGAGACUGCCGGGGUCAAC
rnacentral:rRNA from 1 species